UACGGAGGGUGCAAGCGUUAAUCGGAAUUACUGGGCGUAAAGCGCGCGUAGGCGGCUCGGUCAGUCGGGUGUGAAAUCCCCGGGCUUAACCUGGGAACUGCAUUUGUGACUGCAUGGCUGGAGUGCGGCAGAGGGGGAUGGAAUUCCGCGUGUAGCAGUGAAAUGCGUAGAUAUGCGGAGGAACACCGAUGGCGAAGGCAAUCCCCUGGGCCUGCACUGACGCUCAUGCACGAAAGCGUGGGGAGCAAACAGG
rnacentral:rRNA from 1 species